GCUCAGCCGUUAACAAAGACAGUAAAACACAAUACUGUUCGCCAGAGAACUACAAGCAAAAGCUCGAAACUCCAAGGACUUGGCGGUGCUCCACAUCACCCUAGAGGAGCCUGUCCUAUAAUCGAUACCCCCCGAUCUACCUCACCACUUUUUGAAACUCAGCCUAUAUACCGCCGUCGUCAGCCUACCUUAUGAGAGAGACACAGUAAGCAAAAUAGUCACCAACUAAAACGUCAGGUCAAGGUGUAGCACAUAAAGUGGAAGAGAUGGGCUACACUCUCUCCCCCAGAGAACACGAAUAGCAUCAAUGAAACACGGCUCGAAGGUGGAUUUAGUAGUAAGAUAAACAAGAGAACUUAUCUUAAACCAGCCCUGGAGCGCGC
rnacentral:rRNA from 1 species